UUUCCGUAGGUGAACCUGCGGAAGGAUCAUUAUUGAAUGAGCGACCUUCGAGGGCUAUCCCUGAACCGGAGUGGAGUGCAACCUCGAGUGUCCUCACACACGUCCAUCCCACCCCUCUGUCCACCACCGCGCGGGUCCCCCUCUGGCUUGCUCGGGGGGGGGCUUCCGUUUUCACACCCACUUUGUUUGCCGUGUGGAAUGUAUUUUUUGUUUUUGAGAUCUCGACAACAAUACAACUUUCAACAACAGCUCUCUUGGCUCUCGCAUCGCUGAAGAACA
rnacentral:misc_RNA from 1 species